rnacentral:sRNA from 1 species
AGUUUGCGGCAUCCUGUGGUAUAGGGGAAGCGCUCCGGGCCUGGAAUCCCUACGCGUCCCGUUGGGUUUAGCACGAUGAGCUCAAUCGGCACUGGGUAUGACCUGUCAGCCUCUACAUUCUCUCCUGACGGAAGAGUUUUUCAAGUUGAAUAUGCUAUGAAGGCUGUGGAAAAUAGUAGCUAUUGGAAUCAGAUGCAAAGAUGGUGUUGUCUUUGGGGUAGAAAAAUUAGUCCUUUCUAAACUUUAUGAAGAAGGUUCCAACAAAAGACUUUUUAAUGUUGAUCGGCAUGUUGGAAUGGCAGUAGCAGGUUUGUUGGCAGAUGCUCGUUCUUUAGCAGACAUAGCAAGAGAAGAAGCUUCCAACUUUAGAUCUAACUUUGGCUACAACAUUCCACUAAAAGUAAGUUGAUAACAUAUUGAGGAACCUUUUGGACAGUAAUAGAAGUUUAUUAAUAAGCUCUUCUGCUUCCCUCCAUAGCAUCUUGCAGACAGAGUGGCCAUGUAUGUGCAUGCAUAUACACUCUACAGUGCUGUUAGACCUUUUGGCUGCAGUUUCAUGUUAGGGUCUUACAGUGUGAAUGACGGUGCGCAACUCUACAUGAUUGACCCAUCAGGUGUUUCAUACGGUUAUUGGGGCUGUGCCAUUGGCAAAGCCAGGCAAGCUGCAAAGACGGAAAUAGAGAAGCUUCAGAUGAAAGAAAUGACCUGCCGUGAUAUCGUUAAAGAAGUUGCAAAAAUGUAAGUUGAAAUUUUUCUUACCAUCCACAAAAAUAUUUCACUUGACCUUUGCAUAUAUAUAUUACAUUAAUCCUAAGAAGCUGUUUUCCUGUAAAAUAACUUAGUGAAUAAUUUUUAGAAGGUAAAUUUAACAUUCUAAGAAGCCUCACGAAGGAAGAAAAUGUUUUUAAGCAAUAUUUUUUAGUAGUAAUGAAUAGGAUGGGGAAAAUAGCUUGACAAAAUAAACUGCUGUUACAGGUUAAGGACAUAUACCAUUAGGGUCUUAAUUUGUUAGCUCCCAACUUCUCAAAUCUCUUAAGUCCUAAUAAUAGUAAUCUUAAGAUUGCCUCUAUUGUAAGAAUGCUUACAAACUUUAUAGGUUACAACUAAUUAUUUCAAUACAUGAUCCAUGAAGCUGGCUCAUUUAUAUAAUCUGCUAUUUAUUUGGGAAAGAUAUGUUUCACUUUUUCAGGUUUAUUAUAAAAGUUCCUAUAACAAGGUAAGAAGAGCAGUAUUACAAAACAUUUCAAAAACCAGCUUAAGAAACCCUGAAUAGUUUAUUACAGGUAUAUAAAGUAGAAUACUAUUAAUAUGUAACAGGUAUUUGGACAGUAAACAAUAAAAAAGUCAAUUAACCUGG